UGCAGUCGAGCGGAUGAAGGUAGCUUGCUACCGGAUUCAGCGGCGGACGGGUGAGUAAUGCUUAGGAAUCUGCCUAUUAGUGGGGGACAACGUUCCGAAAGGAGCGCUAAUACCGCAUACGUCCUACGGGAGAAAGCAGGGGACCUUUGGGCCUUGCGCUAAUAGAUGAGCCUAAGUCGGAUUAGCUAGUUGGUAGGGUAAAGGCCUACCAAGGCGACGAUCUGUAGCGGGUCUGAGAGGAUGAUCCGCCACACUGGGACUGAGACACGGCCCAGACUCCUACGGGAGGCAGCAGUGGGGAAUAUUGGACAAUGGGGGGAACCCUGAUCCAGCCAUGCCGCGUGUGUGAAGAAGGCCUUUUGGUUGUAAAGCACUUUAAGCGAGGAGGAGGCUACCUAGAUUAAUACUUUAGGAUAGUGGACGUUACUCGCAGAAUAAGCACCGGCUAACUCUGUGCCAGCAGCCGCGGUAAUACAGAGGGUGCGAGCGUUAAUCGGAUUUACUGGGCGUAAAGCGUGCGUAGGCGGCCAAUUAAGUCAAAUGUGAAAUCCCCGAGCUUAACUUGGGAAUUGCAUUCGAUACUGGUUGGCUAGAGUAUGGGAGAGGAUGGUAGAAUUCCAGGUGUAGCGGUGAAAUGCGUAGAGAUCUGGAGGAAUACCGAUGGCGAAGGCAGCCAUCUGGCCUAAUACUGACGCUGAGGUACGAAAGCAUGGGGAGCAAACAGGAUUAGAUACCCUGGUAGUCCAUGCCGUAAACGAUGUCUACUAGCCGUUGGGGCCCUUGAGGCUUUAGUGGCGCAGCUAACGCGAUAAGUAGACCGCCUGGGGAGUACGGUCGCAAGACUAAAACUCAAAUGAAUUGACGGGGGCCCGCACAAGCGGUGGAGCAUGUGGUUUAAUUUCGAUGCAACGCGAAGAACCUUACCUGGCCCUUGACAUACAGAGAACUUUCCAGA
rnacentral:rRNA from 1 species